AUGAUUUAUGGAUUUGACGUUGUUUCUUUGGUUUGCCGGGAUCUCUUAAUAAUAUCAAUGUCCUGUAGCAACCUAUUUGCUCAGCUAGCUAGUGGAAAAGCUCUGGCUUGCAACUAUAUCGUCAAUGGCUAUGUCCAUACCAUGGUGUACUAUCUGGCCGACAGUAUUUAUCCUGCAUGGUCAACAUUUGUGAAGACCAUUAGUGACACCAAAACCAAGAAACACAAAAGAUUUUCCAAAGCACAAGAAGUUUACCGAAAUGAUAUUUGUUCGAGGUCCUGCUUGCUUCUGGGAUUAAAAAAGUGA
rnacentral:rRNA from 1 species